GACGAACGCUGGCGGCGUGCCUAAUACAUGCAAGUAGAACGCACAGUUUAUACCGUAGCUUGCUACACCAUAGACUGUGAGUUGCGAACGGGUGAGUAACGCGUAGGUAACCGGCCUGGUAGCGGGGGAUAACUAUUGGAAACGAUAGCUAAUACCGCAUAAUAUUGAUUAUUGCAUGAUAAUUGAUUGAAAGAUGCUAUUGCAUCACUACCAGAUGGACCUGCGUUGUAUUAGCUAGUAGGUGAGGUAACGGCUCACCUAGGCGACGAUACAUAGCCGACCUGAGAGGGUGAUCGGCCACACUGGGACUGAGACACGGCCCAGACUCCUACGGGAGGCAGCAGUAGGGAAUCUUCGGCAAUGGACGAAAGUCUGACCGAGCAACGCCGCGUGAGUGAAGAAGGUUUUCGGAUCGUAAAGCUCUGUUGUAAGAGAAGAACGGGUGUGAGAGUGGAAAGUUCACACUGUGACGGUAUCUUACCAGAAAGGGACGGCUAACUACGUG
rnacentral:rRNA from 1 species